AGUGUAAUGUGUUGUUUUACAGGGUCAGCCAUAGUAGUAUGAUAGGUGCAGUGUAAUGUGCUGUUUUAUAGGGUCAGUCAUAGUAGUAUGAUAGGUGCAGUGUAAUGUGUUGUUUUACAGUCUCAGCCAUAGUAGUAUGAUAGGUGCAGUGAAAUGUGUUGUUUUACAGGGUCAGUCAUAGUAGUAUGAUAGGUGCAGUGUAAUGUGUUGUUUUACAGGGUCAGUCAUAGUAGUAUGAUAGGUGUAGUGAAAUGUGUUGUUUUAUAGGGUCAGUCAUAGUAGUAUGAUAGGUGCAGUGAAAUGUGCUGUUUUACAGGGUCAGUCAUAGUAGUAUGAUAGGUGCAGUGUAAUGUGUUGUUUUACAGUCUCAGCCAUAGUAGUAUGAUAGGUGCAGUGAAAUGUGUUGUUUUACAGGGUCAGUCAUAGUAGUAUGAUAGGUGCAGUGAAAUGUGUUGUUUUACAGGGUCAGUCAUAGUAGUAUGAUAGGUGCAGUGUAAUGUGUUGUUUUACAGUCUAAGCCAUAGUAGUAUGAUAGGUGCAGUGAAAUGUGUUGUUUUACAGGGUCAGUCAUAGUAGUAUGAUAGGUGCAGUGUAAUGUGCUGUUUUAUAGGGUCAGUCAUAGUAGUAUGAUAGGUGCAGUGUAAUGUGUUGUUUUACAGGGUCAGUCAUAGUAGUAUGAUAGGUGCAGUGUAAUGUGUUGUUUUACAGGGUCAGCCAUAGUAGUAUGAUAGGUGCAGUGUAAUGUGUUGUUUUACAGGGUCAGCCAUAGUAGUAUGAUAGGUGCAGUGUAAUGUGUUGUUUUAUAGGGUCAGUCAUAGUAGUAUGAUAGGUGCAGUGUAAUGUGU
rnacentral:lncRNA from 1 species